GAAGUAAAAGUCGUAACAAGGUUUCCGUAGGUGAACCUGCGGAAGGAUCAUUACCGAGUGAGGGUCCCUCGGGGCCCAACCUCCCAUCCGUGUUGUCCUGACACCUGUUGCUUCGGCGGGCCCGCCGUGGUUCACGCCCCGGCCGCCGGGGGGUUCACGCCCCCGGGCCCGCGCCCGCCGAAGACCCCUGGAACGCUGCCUGGAAGGUUGCCGUCUGAGUAUACAAUCAAUCAAUUAAAACUUUCAACAACGGAUCUCUUGGUUCCGGCAUCGAUGAAGAACGCAGCGAAAUGCGAUAAGUAAUGUGAAUUGCAGAAUUCCGUGAAUCAUCGAAUCUUUGAACGCACAUUGCGCCCCCUGGCAUUCCGGGGGGCAUGCCUGUCCGAGCGUCAUUGCUAACCCUCCAGCCCGGCUGGUGUGUUGGGCCGCCGUCCCCCCUCCCCGGGGGACGGGCCCGAAAGGCAGCGGCGGCGUCGCGUCCGGUCCUCGAGCGUAUGGGGCUCUGUCACACGCUUCAGUAGAACCGGCCGGCUUGCUGGCCAUCACCUAUAUUUUUCUCUUAGGUUGACCUCGGAUCAGGUAGGGAUACCCGCUGAACUUAAGCAUAUCAAUAAGCG
rnacentral:rRNA from 1 species